rnacentral:other from 1 species
GAUAUCCUGCCCGGCGCGCGGACUGCGCUUUUAUAACCCUACACUUUUUUAAAAGGGAGCCAGGCUCCGACGGCAGAUUGCAGACCUCCCGUUACGGCUUUGACCGGUUAAUGGAAGAAGGGAGCGUGAAACCGUUGGGAUGGCACCCACCUGCUUUUCGUAGGCAGGUUAUUUAAAGUGCGAUACGUCCGGGUGGGCUCUCA